ACUGCUCAGUAACACGUGGUCAAUCUACCGCAGAGAAGGGGAUAACCUUGGGAAACUGAGGCUAAUACCAUAUAGGUUAGAGAUUCUGGAAUGAGCUUUAACUUAAAAAGUUGCGAAUUGGAGCAUUACUGCUCUGCGAUGAGACUGCGUCGGAUCAGGCAGAUGGCGGGGUAACGGCCCACCAUACCUUUGACCCGUAGGGGAUAUGAGAGUAAGAGCCCCGAGAAGGGCACUGAGACAAUGGCCCUAGCGCUACGGCGUGCAGCAGGCGCGCAAACUCCACAAUGCGCAUACGCGUGAUGGGGGGAAUCUGAGUGAUUGACUUCGGUUAAUCUUUUCCUAAGUCUAGUCAGCUUGGGGAAUAAGUGCUGGGUAAGACCGGUGGCAGCCGCCACGGUAAUACCGGCGGCACGAGUGGUGUUCACUAUUAUUGGGCUUAAAGCGUCAGUAGCCGGCCUAAACAGUCUUGUGUGAAAUAUUGGUGCUUGGCAUCAAUACGUGCAUAAGAUACCUUUAGGCUGGGGAGUGGGAGAGGUUAGGAGUAUUCAUGGGGUAAGGGUAAAAUCUCGUAAUCCUAUGAAGACUACCGGUGGCGAAGGCGCCUAACCAGAACACAUCCGACGGUGAGUGACGAAGGCUAGGAGAACGAAUCGGAUUAGAUACCCGAGUAGCCCUAGCAGUAAAUUAUGCAGACUCUGGUGUUGCGCCUAUCUCGAAUAGGUGCAGUACCGUAAGACAACUGUUAAGUCUGCCGCCUGGGGAGUACGGCCGCAAGGUUGAAACUUAAAGGAAUUGGCGGGGGAG
rnacentral:rRNA from 1 species